rnacentral:lncRNA from 1 species
AUAAGAUUAACUUCAAAGUUACUAUUAAAAAGAAAUAAAGUUAUAUAAAUUCUAAUAAAAAUCCUUUUAAACUAUCUCUUUUUGAAGUUAUAAUCUAUCUACAUCCUACAACUAAUAAAAAUCUAUUAAUAUGGCUUUUACUAUGUUGUCUAAUAUAUUGUGCAUUAAAUAUAUAAAUACAUUAUUUUCACAUGGUAGCCGAACAACAACAUGACACCAUGUUAUCAUAAGCAAACUCUGCCAAUGGCAAAAAAAUUGUCCAAUUACCUUCUUGGUAGUUGAUGGUACAUCUUAAUUAUUGUUUCAAAACUUAAUUAACAUGCUAUCGUAAUACAUGAAGUCUUACUUGAGAAUGCUCCAAGCACCUGAUUAUGGAAGGUAGAAAAGAAAUUGUAAUAACAAAAUCCUAAUUCUAAUAAAACACUAAUAAUGCUAAAUAAGCUUUAAUCAUAUUCAGAGAAACUUCAAAGGAAUUCCAAAGAAAUAAUAAGAAAUCUUAAAGAAAUAUUAGAAUGAUUAUAAACAAAUCUCAAAUACAUCUCAAUUCAAUCUUAAUUUAAUCUUAGUUGAAACCUUACUUCAUUCAAACUUUAGGCCAAAAACUAACUAAAUCUUAAAUCCUAACCAAACUCAAAUAAAAUCCUAAAUCCUAAAUCAAAUCUUGAUUAAAUUCUAACAAAAUCCUAAAUCCUAAAUCAAACCCUAAUCCUAAAUCAAAUCCUAACCAAAUCCUAAAUCUUAAAUCAAACCCUAAACCAAAUCCUAAUCCUAAAUCAAAUCCUAACCAAAUCCUAAAUCCUAAAUCAAAUCCUAAU